UACGGGGGGAGCAAGCGUUGUUCGGAUUUACUGGGCGUAAAGGGCGCGUAGGCGGUCAGCACAAGUCAGUUGUGAAAUCUCCGGGCUUAACUCGGAAAGGUCAACUGAUACUGUGCGACUAGAGUGCAGAAGGGGCAACUGGAAUUCUCGGUGUAGCGGUGAAAUGCGUAGAUAUCGGGAGGAACACCGGUGGCGAAGGCGGCAUCCUGGACCGGCACUGACGCUGAGGAGCGAAAGCCAGGGGAGCAAACGGG
rnacentral:rRNA from 1 species